rnacentral:lncRNA from 1 species
CUGUGAGAACAUUUAAUACUUCUUUUAGUUUCUCUCACUUUGCCGAGUACCAGGUACGUUCUACCACAAGGUAGGUACCCUGUCAAAAAUUAUUUACUCCAGAGUCAAAAGUUGGUGACUUGAAAAAAGUCUAUUCAACAUUGAGAGAACUCACAGUUUUGGCAACUAAUCUUGAUAGUUUAGAUAUCUUAAGCACACUGUAUAAAGUAAAUAUUGGAUGAUCUUUGACUCGCCUGUAAUUUUUCAAGCUCACAUGGGAGGCCUGAGAUGUCAAACUGCUAGAGAAAAUGAUACUGAAAAAAGAAAAUAUAUCACCUUGUUAUGAUUGGAAAAAAAACUGUUAGUGUCUUGAAAAAGAAGUUUAGACAGAUUUGUAUAACACAAAUAAUCAUGUCUCUUUUAGAUAUGACAAGAUAUAGAAGAUGAAUAGAAACCACAG